rnacentral:rRNA from 1 species
GCAAGCGUUGUUCGGAAUUACUGGGCGUAAAGGGCUCGUAGGCGGCCAACUAAGUCAGACGUGAAAUCCCUCGGCUUAACCGGGGAACUGCGUCUGAUACUGGAUGGCUAGAGGUUGGGAGAGGGAUGCGGAAUUCCAGGUGUAGCGGUGAAAUGCGUAGAUAUCUGGAGGAACACCGGUGGCGAAGGCGGCAUCCUGGACCAAUUCUGACGCUGAGGAGCGAAAGCCAGGGGAGCAAACGGG